AACGCAAACACAAUUAGGGUUUCUUCUCAUCUCUCUGUCGCUUCUCUAUUCUCCAUGGAUCUUAGAUCAAAACACAAACACAAUUAAGAUUUCUUCUCCAUCUCUCUGUCGCUUCUCUAUUCUCCAUGGCUCUUAGAUGCUGCUCCAUCAAUGUGUGACCCAAACGCCUGUUCUUCUUCUACGUUGAUUCAUCAUCCAAAUUUUAUAGCCUUGGAUUAAGAUCGAGUUUUGCUUUUCAAUCGAUUAUACGCUCCAAAUGCUUAAGGCUUUAUCUCUAUGAUAUUAUUCAUUCAUUCAAAUCUUUGAUCUUCAUCUCGACGGGUGGGAGUACUCUAAAGAUGGGAAAUGUGAGAAAAUGCCUUCUACAACAUUUGUCACCAUGAAGAUAAAGUCACUUCCAUGCAUUAAACAUGAGCACAUGAUAUGGAUCUGGCUUGGAAAUGAACACCUAUUAUGCCUUAACUAAAAACACUCCUAUGAUUCCAAAUACAUGCUGAGGAUGUUGCAAUUAAGGUAGGUUGUAUGUCUCGCAAAGGUACAUACCUGCAGAAUCAAAAAUCACUGCUGAUUAUAGCCGAAGAUAUUGAAAGUGAGGCCUUAGCCACUCUCAUUCUUAAGAAAAUUUGUGUUGGCAUCAAGGUCAAACGGGGAAGCAGAAAAUAGCUAGAAGGAUUGAAAGCUGCCAAAAGUGUAUUUUAGCGAGCACUCGAUGGGUAAAAAGACAAAAUAAGAUUUUGUUGGAACCUAAGAUAAAUGAAGACUCGGCAAAGAAUGGACACGAGGAUUAUGAAUCACAUUCACAUGAAACUGUUGUGUGGAUAUGUUGUGAUGUUAAAGAUACCAGGAUAAAACUGUUUUGCCAAAUUUAUUCAAGAAAUACAUGCAAGCUGGUGCAGAUACAACUCCAAAGUAUGGUGGGACUGGAUUAGGUUUAGCAAUUUGCAAACAACUACUGGAACCACAAUUAGGUUUUUUAAAGUAAAGGAAAAACAAAAAGAAGAGGCUGGAAAUGCAUAUAGGAGCGGACCUUUAAAGAAACAAAGUGCAGGGGAAUCAUAAAGGAAUCAAGUGAUCGGUUUUCUUAAACUAAGGUUUUGCCUCUCUACCAUUACCCGAAAAGCAAAACAUUCAUUGGGAUUAAGGUUUUGCCUUUCGACCAUUACUCGAUAAUGUAGGUUUUCCUUUUAACUCAUUUGUAUGAAAACGGGCGAAAUAUGGGUGUAUUUGUUGAAUAAUGGGUCAAAUGUGCAAAACACAUUGAAUAUAUAAAGUGGAUCUUUAUCGUG